CAACAAAUUGACGUUCCGACUGCUUUGACUGGCUGGUUGGCUGUACUCAACGGCAUAGUCAACGACUGGUGUAGAUACAAGCAGUCAGGCAGUGCCAGUAAAGCAAGUAGAUUUCGCUCAUUCAUUUACAAAAACGGUUGGUUUGUGGUGUGAGAAAUGGUAGACAUUUGAGGGGUAUUAUGUGAAUUUUAGAGGGGUAUUGGAUUGCAGUGGUGGGGCAAGCGGUAGCAGUGUGAGUUAACGAACAAAUGUGUGAGCCAGCGAGCAGGCUGGUUAAUAUUAAUAACAACAACAAUAAUAACUGCAAUAACAACAGUUUAACAUAAAUAACAACAAUAGCAACAAAUAUACCAAAGUAGCAACGCAUACAGCUGUCAUAUAAUCAGCCGCCACAGUACAGUACUGUAGUCUCAGCAACGAGCUGACUCAAGCAAAGGUAGCAACAAUAAAAACCACAAGCGCAUUUCGCACGAAGCUCACAACUACCUAUCUACAUAUGUACAUGUAUAGCAUAUAUACAUAUCUACAUGUACUAUAUAGAAUCGACUCAGACGAAGCGUUCGACGACCGCCUAUCUACCCUCACGCGGCAAAUGUCCCACAACGUCGUGCAAAUAACGCUCUGUACUGAAAACUCAGCAACCAGCUGCCGACUCAUUGACAAAACGAACGAAUAAAUACCACAUACAUGUAUGUUUGUAUGUAGCUAUGCUCACGAAUGGGUGUCGUUUUGGCUCUGCAUGAGAAAAAUAUAUAUCUGUACGCCGUUGCUCUUGCAGUGCGUUGCGCGUUCGUCGUUAGCUGUUGACGUUUAUCACACCGGUGGCGUGUACAUUAGGCGUUCAUUUUCGUGCGAAAAUCGGCCAUUGCACUGUGUGUCGUUCAUAUGAAAUGCUUGGAUAAGUUUUUAUGACAGCGUUCCAAUAUCCUGACACGUUAGUGUAAAAUCGUUUGUUGAGUCGCCGAUAUAUUUUAGGCAACCAAGUAAACAACCAGACAGUCGACUACCAGAUAGGCAAGUAGCCAGUUAGUCAGCUAUCGCGGGAAAAUCUCUAGUUAGCGCAGCAAUCAUGUUCAUAUGUACUAUAACAUACAGUACUAGAAGUUGUUGGGCUAUUCUUGGUUAUAUUAAUGGUACCAGUGCUAACGGAAAUCGAUUAAAUUUGUGCAAAAUAUCUAUGUACAUACAUACAUACAAAUGUACAUCUGUAUGUGAGUCAAUAUUCAGGAGUGCAAACCUUUACGGAAUGUAUGAUACUAGUUUUUCGUAAAUAAAUUGUUAUGGUUUUGAUAUAAUUUGUUUAUACCACAGGUAUUUAUAAUACCUACCAUAUAUAAUAUUUUUGUAUAUGUACAUAUUUUAGUUUAUUAUACAAGAUUUUCUUCCUAUUGGAGAUGCCCUCAAUAUGCUAUCCGAAAUAUGGAUAUGAAUACAAAAAAAUGUAAGUUCUCUAGUGUGACUGCUUUUCUUUAUGCUAUUCGUCAAAUGGAUAUGGUUGAAAAUAAAAAAUUGAAAUGCUCUCAGAGCGACUGCUAGAUUUUAUUGCAAGUUUUUUGUGUUAAAAUAAGUAUACUCCAAAGUGACAAACCUGCUGAAAUAUCUCUGCUCUUAGAAAAAAAAAACUUUUAUUAGCAGUUUUCGAUUUUGCUGCUAUAAUAUUAGAAAAAAAAACAUAGUACUGUAAAUUUGGAAUAUGCUUCAGACUGAUUGUUCUUAACCCAUAAUUUCCGGUUCCACGUUAUCAGAAUUGAUAACAUACAUAUGUACAUAGUUACAUAUUAUUUAAUGUUUCUUUACAACUUUUUGGGACUUAAAAAAUAUACAUACUAUGUACAUACAUAUACACAUGUAACAAUAAAUAUUUAUGACACAAUUACUUCGUAUUUAUUUAUACGAUUGAUCACUAAAUAAAUAAAUACAGCAAGUCAAAUAUCCAUACAAACUAGAAUAUACACGUUAUUUAGUAUUCUAUUGAAUGUAGGUCAAGGUGAUAUAUUAGCAUCAAUUAACACUAAGCCCAUAUGUGGUGGCCAUGCAAGGUAUUACGUACGCACAUGUGGCGCAAACGCCAAUUCAAAUAUUUAAAUUCAUAGGUACGUAGAUUUACAACACAAACGAUGCCAAUCGAAAUUGCAUACGCACAUAAGUAUGUACCGACAACUGCUCUAUUGCCCUUUGACCGGACUGCAAUUGUAAGAUGCACAUUCGAACUAGCUUGCCUGGCGAACUAGCCAUUUGGCGGAGUUAACAAUGAAGUGCGUAUUGUCAUGAAGUACUACUCCUACAUACCACAUUUCCAAACCCAGGACAGCAGUUGGUUGUUGUGUAUGGCUAAAAAUUUGCGCGCGCAAAGUAUUUCGUAUGGAAUUGAAAUAUAGCCGUUAUAGCAUGUUGUGUUACAGUGGCGUCCAUAUUUUCGUCCAUAUGGAUUAGUGUAAAUUUUGUCGCAACUCAGCAUAAAAUUACAUACGCAUGGGAUGGUAGUUGUUAGACACGACUGUAGUAGCGUUCAAUGGCGAGCGUACGCAGCGCUACUAGUCGACGUUGCUUUUGCUGCCACUGUCACUACACUAUGGGUGAGUACUUUUGUUUUCAACAGCUCAAAUGUACAUAUGAAUGUGUGUGUGUGUGAAUUGUGCGAUUCAGUUCCAUAUCAGUGGAUUUGUGCGUUUGCAUAAAAGCCACAAAAGUAGCAACGCCACUAGAGCAAGAGCGCCAAGUUUGUGUUAUCGAGGGAGGCUUAGUGGCUCAGCAUAGCAGUUGUAAUACAUAUUGGCAUUCGUAGGGAAAUCAGCGCAGAGCUUUGUCUCAGAUUUGCUUUCACCCUUUCGAUAUGAAUUCACAAUAAACACAUUUGUAUGUAAAUGUUUUAAGAUUUUCUGCUUAUGCGCGCGCCCAUCACUUCUUGCGCUUACUGGUGUAUGUGUGUGUUUUUUGGUGUAGUGACGCGCGGUUCAAAGCAUACCAUCGGACGCCGCGCGCGCAUAAAUGCCGUGAAGGCGGCAGCAACUCAUAAAAAUGUCGCUACUUCCUAGUGAUGUUUGAUUUGGCGUACAACGCUGCGAAACGUUGUUUGUGCAAAUUUUCAGUCAAUAAAUUAUUAAAUUUAAAUAUUAUGUAUGUAGCUAAAAGCGGCAUGAGAAAUGUGGUAUCUCUAUACAUAGCCCGCGCGCGCCCUCUUUACGUUUAUUAAAUAAUCAUGUUGGUUACUCGCCACUCAACUCUACACAUAAACAUACUACAUAUAACCCUGCUAACCAGAAUACCGAUAUUGGCCUCCUUCCCUGAGUUUCAUUUGCUGUGCUGCAAAGUGGCGCCCUCGUUGAUAGGCAAACAUUGACGUUGCCGUUGACGCAGCCGUUUACGUUAACGUACGCUAACGCUGCCGCUACCGGUGCGAACAAUCAACGCUCUACAUUGCUUUCGCCCGCGCUGUCGUCG